UGGGUUGCCAUUUCCUUCUGCAAUGCAUGAAAGUGAAAAGUGAAAGUGACGCCGCUCAGUCGUGUCCGACCCUCAGCUACCCCAUGGACUGCAGCCUACCAGGCUCCUCCGUCCAUGGGGGGCCUGCACUACUUUUGUCUCUAUGCAGCUUGUGCUCUGGCUUCACUAACCCAAAGCCCCAUGUCCCUGCGUGCUCUUCUGUGUGACACGUAUUUAUUUUGGCUGCCCUGGGUCUUCGUGUGCCCGGGCUUUCCCGAGUCGCUGUGAGCAGGGUCUGCUCUCUAGCUGCGGUGCUUGGGCUUCUCCCUGCAGUGGCUUCAGUUGUUGCAGAGCAUGGGUUCAGUACUUGUGGUGCACGGGCUUAGUUGCCUGGAACAUGUGGGAUCUUCCCAGACCAGGGAUCGAACCCCUGUCCCGUGCAUUGGCAGGUGGAUCCUUAACCACUGGACGAAUGGGGAAGUCCUCCUCUACAUGAUUUUGAAUGGCUUCAGGGUAUUCUUUCAUAGGAAUGAGCCACAAAAAUUCACUCGGUACAAGAUUCCUAGGUUUUCACAACUGUAAGCUUUAUACACAUAUUCCUUAUGAUGAACCCAUAGCUGUAGAACUUCUGGAUCAAAGAGGGCCUAUGAGACCCAUCCGGCAUCCAUCUCCCAGAAUUUCACAUCACGUCUGAACCAAAAUCCUACUUUAGGGGCCCUGAGUGUUCAUCAUCGCAGAAAGAACUCGCUGCGACGCCGAGUGGUGCUCCUCAGAGUUAAGGGGUGCUUGGCGGAGCAUCACAACCAGAGGGAGCCGAGUGGCUCAGAACUGUUUUUGAUCAGUUCCUUACCUCGUGAGUGAUUUAAACUCGGAUGUCUCUGGAAGACACGCCACAGGCCAUGUUUCAGACCUGGUGCAUAUGUAGUCAAUGGAACAUCACCACAGGCUCAGAUUAGGAAGAAAGAAUAAUUUAUUCAUCUUCAUCACCCAAAUGCCACCACUUGCCAUGAUCAUUAUCAUCCCAACUUUGCUUUUCCUUCUUCCAUAUCCUGUCCUGUUUGUUCCCAUGGAUGCUUUGCCUUCUCCUGCACAUCUCAUUCGGUUGAGUUGGGUUCCUCUGGAUUCCUCAGAACAGAGUAAGAGGCAACUACAUUCAUCAGGUCUUUAGAAAAAUCCUGGCACCCAUCGGGAUCACAUGAGGUGUAAUCUGCAGGGUCAGUGGCUUCGGGAGGACUUGCAGACCAUCUUCUUUACAAGUGAAACAUAUUCCUUAUUAUCCCUUGAGUCGUUGGGUUCAUAGAGGGCGGAGCCAAAUCAAGCAAUGGUGAAAAGAUCUGUCAAGAUAAAUGUGCACAGCGGCAGUCAUUUAGGAGUUAAUUUUCGAAUGAGAAGGGGCAAACAUAACCUGCUUCAGGUGAAAAGGAGAAAUUAAAUUGUGUUUCUUUGAUCUUAGAGGCUGCCUAAUUGACACUCUCAUCAGUCACCAAUAAAAGGGAAGGCGUGGCAGAAGACUCCAGGAUGUCAGAAAGAAGCACAACCUGAGUAGAGGUGAGGUAGAGACCAGCGUUGCCCAAGGUCAUAGCAAGAGACGGGGUGGAGGGAGCGCUCCCUUUCUGACUGGUGGCUCAGUGGUCAGUCCACGUUGACCAAAAGAGGUUGCUUGUACUAUGCAAGUAAAAUAUGAACGCCCAGGUUGUUGGGGAGCAAGAAGACACUCAGAAUACGAGGUGGAAAGGGGGAGCCGGGAGCAGGAGAAACCAGACUUCCCUCUUAUGUGUUGCUUCAUGCCUCUGCUGGUGAACAGGAGGAGAAGAGAGAAAUGGCUGACUCCAAACCCACAGUUCCUGUCCUGGAGGUGACCCCAUCCCACGGUUUGGAUGCUGCCUCCGCCAGAUGACACCUGACACGGGGGCAAGGUUCUUCUCAACAGAGAUAGAUGCGUACUCACCCCGCAGCUGGAAAUUUUCCCAACAGCGCCCAUUUGGAAAUUCCAUUGUCAGUUAUAAAACAGACCUCCCCCGAGGUUGAGAGGAGGAGGGAAAGGCAGAGAUGAGUCUGAAAAUCCAAAGGACUGUAUGGUCUAAGAAUGAAAUGUUUUCUAAAUCAAAUUAAGCUACACCGUGAAAAUUGAGGAGAAAGUCCUUAAGGUGACUUUUAAAUGAAAAUGAAAUGUCUGCUAGUAAGCUACAGAGGUGUAUUGGUACCGAGUGGCAGCCUUGUAUCUCAUUAAUUUCAAACAUAGAUUUUUAUGUGAGGCUAUUUGAUUAUAAUUUGAUUAUCUGACCCUGUAAUUAAAGUUUAUUACCAAUUUGGAAGCUUACAUGUAAAAUGAACUGGUUUUCUUCAAAGCAAUAUACAAUCCUUCGGACUCAUUGACUUCUGGUUUUGCAUUUAAAUGGAAAAGUCAGUUAUAACGUGACAAACAGGUUGGGGUUUUGAUCAUUAAUCCUGCUAAAGCAAUAUUCAUAAAUUCAAUUCUGAAUCAGUUGGAAUACUUUUCUUUUAUUAGUUUCUGUGUUAUUAAAUGAGAUUGUUUCUGACUAAUAUAUUUCUGGACUCAAACUGUAGCUCCAAGCUGUUAUUCAAAUCAAAUAACAUGCCCCUUACUUGUGCCUCGCACUAAUAAAUGCCAACUUGUGAUACAUUUGCAAGAGACUGUCAGCAAUAUUAAAGGAGGCAAUAACGCCA